rnacentral:rRNA from 1 species
UUGAACGCUGGCGGCAUGCUUUACACGUGCAAGUCGAACGGCAGCGGGGGCUUCGGCCCGCCGGCGAGUGGCGAACGGGUGAGUAAUGCAUCGGAACGUACCCAGUCGUGGGGGAUAACUACGCGAAAGCGUAGCUAAUACCGCAUAUGCCCUGAGGGGGAAAGGGGGGGAUCGCAAGACCUCUCGCUUUCGGAGUGGCCGAUAUCGGAUUAGCUAGUAGGUGAGGUAAAGGCUCACCUAGGCGACGAUCCGUAGCGGGUCUGAGAGGACGACCAGCCACACUGGAACUGAGACACGGUCCAGACUCCUACGGGAGGAAGCAGUGGGGAAUUUUGGACAAUGGGCGAAAGCCUGAUCCAGCCAUACCGCGUGAGUGAAGAAGGCCUUCGGGUUGUAAAGCUCUUUCAGCCGGAAAGAAAUUGCUUCUAUUAAUACUAGGAGUAGAUGACGGUACCGGAAGAAGAAGCACCGGCUAACUACAU